GGCGGGGGUUUACUCCUCCUGUUAGGUUGGUAGGAUGAGGGAUAAAAUAUACCAAGAGAGGGAUCCAAUCCGGUUUGAGCUAGUUCUGGUCUGGUUGGACAUUUAUGUUAAGUUACAGACCCUCUGGAGGUGUAAAGGCUGAAGGUGCAGGGACUGACACACGUUACAUCCAGUUUCCAAGGCUGUGCAAAGCUUGCUGCUCUUCCGCUUUUGUCUCUGUCCUUCAAACUCGAGCAACAAUGGGCAAAAAGAAACAGUGUGACGCCAGUGCAGAUGUAGAGCCGGAGGUUCCCACGCGGGCAAGACGGUCUCCAAGGUUUUCCAAGUUAGACAAAGAGAUAAAACCCCUGCCAGAGAAGAUAAAGGCGCCUCCUAAGAAGAAAGCCAAACCGACGGAAAAGGCCAAGGCAGAGGAGAAGAAAGAAGAACCCGAGGCGGAGAAAGACGCUCCUGCAGCUGAGAAUGGAGACGAGAAAGCUGAGGAGGAGCCCGCAGCAGCAGAUGAGGUGAAGGAGGAGGAAGCCAACGACAAGGAAGAGGAAGAGGAGGCAAAGGAAGCAGAGUAGAAACGACCACCACUAGACUCACCCACCAAUGCUCCCUGUACCUCUUUUGUUGUAAAAUGCAGAGAAUAUUUUUAUCGACUAUUUUCUUAAGACAACAAUGUUUUUAGGGAUGUGAUUGCAUUUUUUUUUUUAAAUACUACAAAUUCCAUCAACGUUUGUGGCUUCUGUGAAGGGAAAGUUUCUUUCAUUGUUUUCUUGUGACCUUUUUGUCUUCAGGUUGUAGUUUGUUUGUGUUUUUCUUUUUCUGCAUGACAUGCAACUGUGCCUCAUGAGUGGGAGAGUUUAUUGGAGACAUUCCCGAGGCAUUGUGAGGGAUUUUUCUAUCUUGUACUGUUUAUGUAAAACACAUCAUCAAUACUGUGUCUGGUAGAUGAUGGGAGGACAUUAAAGUUGUGUUACACGCUAAGUCAAGCCUUCUCACAACGGUCUGUUUCAUCGUCCUGUCAGAUUUCGAUUUCAAGGUACAUCUGAUGACAGUGAAGAUGAUCCAUGUACUCAGCUAUGCUAUAAAAAAAGAAAUGCAAAGCUAGUCAUACCCAUCAUGGUUCAUUCUUUUGGAUAUCUGUAUGGUUUUGGGAUUUCUUGACCAAUGUACAGUUUCCUCUUUUUUUUUAUGAAAAAAAAAAACAAUAAAAUGUUAUGAAUGGUAUGAAAUGCCAAUUAAAAUGGGAAUUUCUCAGUUAUUUUGUUCAUAAACAUGUUUCAGUUGA
rnacentral:lncRNA from 1 species